GUCCCCGCCCUCCUGAGCUGGUGCAGGCUGCUGCGGGCCAGAUUUGUCCAGAUAACUGCCCAUGAGGGCAGUUCAGCAGAGUCAGGUCCUUCGAAUAGGGUCCGCUACUCUGGGAGGUUUGUGUUGACUACAGACUUUGCCAAGGUGAAGGGAUCAGUGUGUUCGCUGACGUUCUGUGUUCUGAGCAGCGCGUUCUGAGUUCCAGCAUCAGGAGCCUCCAUGACCAGCCUGACCUGAGCACCUACAGGCAGCACCAGCAUGGGUACUACAAGAGGGCAUACACACUACUCAGACUAUGAUGAAAUUAAUGGCCUGAUUCUUCACCCUUGUUGGUAUCCACCAUCUCAGCCAUGCAACUUUGCACUGCUCUACUACUCAGCAGCAGGUCAAGUGCUGACCCAGCACCCCUUUGCACCAGUCUUUCAAACCCUGGCCACACUAACUAAUCAACCUGAUUGCUG